CCUACGGGUGGCAGCAGUAGGGAAUAUUGCUCAAUGGGGGAAACUCUGAUGCAGCAACGCCGCGUGGAGGAUGAAGGUUUUAGGAUCGUAAACCCCUUUUGUGAGAGAAGAUAAUGACGGUAUCUCACGAAUAAGCACCGGCUAACUCCGUGUCAGCAGCUGCGGUAAUACGGAGGGUGCAAGCGGUACUCGGAAUCACUGGGCGUAAAGAGUGCGCAGGCGGGCUUGUAAGUCAGAUGUGAAAGCCUGUAGCUUAACUACAGAACUGCAUUUGAAACUAUGAGUCUAGAGUGUGGAAGAGGAAAGUGGAAUUCUUGGUGUAGGGGUAAAAUCCGUAGAUAUCAAGAGGAAUACUCGUUGCGAAGGCGACCUACUGGAACAUUACUGACGCUCAUGCACGAAAGCGUGGGGAGCGAACAGGAUUAGAUACCCUUGUAGUC
rnacentral:rRNA from 1 species